GAGUAGCUUGCUACUUUACCUAGCGGCGGACGGGUGAGUAAUGCUUAGGAAUCUGCCUAUUAGUGGGGGACAACAUCUCGAAAGGGAUGCUAAUACCGCAUACGUCCUACGGGAGAAAGCAGGGGACCUUCGGGCCUUGCGCUAAUAGAUGAGCCUAAGUCGGAUUAGCUAGUUGGUGGGGUAAAGGCCUACCAAGGCGACGAUCUGUAGCGGGUCUGAGAGGAUGAUCCGCCACACUGGGACUGAGACACGGCCCAGACUCCUACGGGAGGCAGCAGUGGGGAAUAUUGGACAAUGGGGGGAACCCUGAUCCAGCCAUGCCGCGUGUGUGAAGAAGGCUUUUUGGUUGUAAAGCACUUUAAGCGAGGAGGAGGCUACCGAGAUUAAUACUCUUGGAUA
rnacentral:rRNA from 1 species